rnacentral:misc_RNA from 1 species
GGAACCAAUAGCUUAAGGCAAACUGAAAUUCAUGUACAUGCUGUACAUACAGACUGAUGAAAAUUCUGGAACGAAUCUUUUGGGCAAUAUCCAGAAGUAAUAAAUGCUGAUAAAGAAAAACGCCAUGGACCUACGAAAUGAUCAGCUAUCUCUCCCAAACAAAGUAUAAUGUUAUCAAUAUUACUGAUGUUUCAACCAUCAUUGUAAAUACAAUUGAAAAUGGAUAUCCAACAGACAAACUGACUCAAAUUCAUUUCAGUGACAACCGACUCCAAUUCAUUUCAGUGACCGACACUUCUAAGCCUCUCUACGAACAAAGUAGAGUUUACCCACAACAUGAAGAAUCGCAACAAAAGCUAUGAACCCAAUGCUCAUUAUUAGUACAACAUUUGGAGAGAUUUUGAGUCCUGGAGCAUCAUCAGUGUAGAACUGAAGCAUAGUCCCAGCUGCUCCUCCUGAGGCCCCACCACUCGUUGUCCUCCUCCUGCGCAUGCUAGCAGCUGCUGCUGCGCUGCCUCUUGGGGGAGCUGUUCCACCUAAAGCCAUUUCUGUAACAACCAAUAAUUGAAAUAGUUCAGAUUCAUGUUUAUGCACAUUUAUCUUCUGAAAGUACCUACAAUCAAUAACCAGAAUAAUGGUUGCCUUUUGGCAGCUCAUCCUCAACAAUUCAUCCACUCAAAACAAAAUAAGGCACAAAAUACAACCACCAAAUUUGUACCUCAACUAGACUUUGUCAAAGCACUAUUCCCUCUCGAUGAUGAAGCUUAUCCGCAAUCAUCCCACAAAUUUCAUGAGCUCAAGAAAAAUACGCUACUAUAUGAUUAAUUGACUCACUAAUUAAAAACUAUGUGAUUCACUGUGUGAAGAAUCAUGAGGUAUCAUGUCCAACAAUAAAAAGCACAAACUCAUCAACCUCGUCAAAUUUUCAUAUCCAAACAAAAACUGCUUGGUUUGUUUGCAAUUUUGCAAAUAGCUUUGUGAAACCCUUUUCGAGCUUCAUGAAUCAUGAUGAUGUUAUGUACUUUAAUUAGCCCACAUGAACCCAAAAUAACCCAUAUGCAAGAUACACGAACACUUGAGCCGAACAGCAAUACAAUGAGAUGUCUAGACUAGAAUCAACAGUCACAAAUUCCAAUCAACAUUUAUUUUAUUUACAAGUGAUGAAGCUUUAUUUUUUUCAAAAUCAAAAUCCACCAACCUCAAAAACAAAAAUGAUAACAUCAACCUGGAUCUACUUAACCAAUUUCUUAUAACUUUCCACAACUAUCAAAAUUGAUUGUAGAAAUUAUAACCAAAAAAUGGAGAAACUAUUGAUCACAGAAAAAAGAUCUUAUAUGUAUCCAAA